rnacentral:tRNA from 1 species
UGUCUUGUAGUAUAUAUUUCAACAUUACCAUAAACUGCAACUUUAUUAAAGCAUAAUGCCAAGGCAU